CCUACGGGUGGCUGCAGUGGGGAAUAUUGCACAAUGGGGGAAACCCUGAUGCAGCGACGCCGCGUGAGUGAAGAAGUACUUCGGUAUGUAAAGCUCUAUCAGCAGGGAAGAAGCAAGACGGUACCUGACUAAGAAGCCCCGGCUAACUACGUGCCAGCAGCCGCGGUAAUACGUAGGGGGCAAGCGUUAUCCGGAUUUACUGGGUGUAAAGGGAGCGUAGACGGCAGCGCAAGUCUGGAGUGAAAUGCCGGGGCCCAACCCCGGAACUGCUCUGGAAACUGGGAAGCUGGAGUGCAGGAGAGGUAGGCGGAAUUCCUGGUGUAGCGGUGAAAUGCGUAGAUAUCAGGAGGAACACCGGCGGCGAAGGCGGCUUACUGGUCUGUAACUGACGUUGAGGCUCGAAGGCGUGGGGAGCAAACAGGAUUAGAUACCCUAGUAGUC
rnacentral:rRNA from 1 species